rnacentral:lncRNA from 1 species
UUUCUUAUCUAGUAAAAUAUUUAUUUCCUGAUCAAUUGUAACAAAGCAAUUUCAACCUUUAUUACUUCACAAUAUCUUUAAAAAUGUCUCAUAUGAUUCCAACAACAUAUGUCAUAUUUCUUGUCGUUUGUUUUAUGUGUUUUGAACCUUGCACCCAUGCAAGAAAUUUUAAUUCUCCGAGCAUCGAAAAUGUCAAUCCAUUCACAUCAACAAUGAAAGUUGCAGAAGAAAACAUUAAGAAGAACGUUCCUAAAAGAGAAAAUGGUUAUACAACGGCUAGUAUAAUCUAUGGAAGUUAUGCAAGUGGACCCGAUCCAAGUGGAAGAGGACACGGUAGACCGCCAACUCCACCACACCAUUGAAAAACAAUCGUUUAAUCUGUACAUGGUGGAUAUAAUGUGAAUUAGAUAAUAAUUAAUAAUUAAUAAACAUUUGUGACAGUUGGAUUAUGUUCAUAUAUAAUGAAAUCAAAUAAUAAACCAACUGAUAGUAAAGAAGAAGAAAAAAUACAUUUAACAAUGGAAAUUAUUGUGUAUAUUUUAUAAUUAUGCAGAAAAUGCAAACAUCAAAAUUUAAUUUGAACCAAACGAAUAGUUAGGAUUAUCAAAAUUGAUCAGAUUUGGAUUAGUAGUUUUUUCCCUCUGAAAAUUAAUCAAACUGAAACUAGUUUAAACUCAUUUUUAAAUUAAAAGAAUGUUUGAAAAAAAAUUCACUAGUUAAAAUCAAAUACUUAUAUUUUUAUGAAAACAAUUAUGUUAAACUAGACACGAUUGGAAAAUACCGAUUGCGAAAAACAACAUAAAUCAUAGCCGUGGACGAACUCAGAAUACCAUAUGCAAACGUGUUCAUCAUUGUAUUUUUUCUUGAUAUGUGCUGAAUCACAAAUCUACAAAAAUUUCAUGGCUAAUAGUUUCCAGAGUAAGCCGAUCACUAUAUUGAUAACACCAUGUUUACCAGUUCUGAAAAGUCUAUUGCAAAAACAAAAUCUAAAUCUUUAGGGGGCCCUAAAUAUAAAACUGCGAUCGAUUUGUUUAGGAUAUUUUUUUUUUCUCUUGGUUUCUUCUAUAUGAAUUAACUAACUAGGUGUUUGGCCCGCAAAUGCGGGCAUAAUAUUUUUACAUAUAUUUAUAUAUGGAUUAUAAAUACAAAGAGAAUCAUCAUGAUUAUAUUUUUAUGUUCCUAGUCAUUUUUAUUAUCUUACUUUUGUUUUGUCUUUUAAAAUAUCACUGAAAGUGAAAAACUAUAAGAACGAUCACAUAUCAAACAUGUAGAAAAAUAAAGUAAAAAAAGAAAGUACAAAAAUAAAGUAAUCCUUUUCUUAGACAUUUUUAUUAAAAUAAAUAUAUUAAUUUAUGAUCAAUAACAUAAUAAAUAAACAAAAUAAUUCAUUAAGGGUAACAGCAUUUCAAUCUGCCUUGGAUAUUACUAGGUGAUUACAACGUCACACUGUCAUCUAGAGAGCAUUCAAGAUCCAAUGAUUACCUUCCAGACCAGACUGGAAUGAGACAGUUUCAGGGGUUGGUUAGUGACUGCGAUCUCACGGAUUUAGCCUAUCUAGGAGAUCUCUUCACAUGGUGGAAUAAGUGUGAGGAGGAUCCUAUAGGGAAAAAAUUGGACCGAGCUCUCAUCAAUGGCGAUUGGUUGCGCUCAUUCCCUCACCCUUAUGCUCAGUUCGAAGCUGGAGGAAUAUCUGAUCACGCCAGAUGCUUGUUAAGGCUGUCUUCUAAUACAGAAACAGUGAGGAAGCCAUUCAGGUUCUUCAAUUACUUAGCAGAGCAUGAAGAGUUCCUGCCUACUGUAGCAAAGCUCUGGGAAAGCACAUAAACUAUUUAUCAUUCUCGAGCUUCUUUGGGACUCUUCCACAAGAAGCUCAAAGCGCUGAAAUAUGAGAUGCGAUUGCUGAAUAAAAUUCAUUACGGGGAUCUGCCUAAUCAAACCAAGGAAGCAUACAAGGUCUUGUGUGAAUGUCAGAAUCAGGUUCUCCGGGAUCCUAAUCCUCUUACAUUUGCAGCAGCUUCAGUAGCUUCUGAUAGGUGGAACAGGCUGGCUAGAAUAGAGGAGAAGUUCUAUAGACAAAAGUCUUGCAUCAUGUGGCUUCAAGAAGGGGACCUAAAUACCACGUUCUUUCAUCAGUCAGUGCAAUCUAGUAUGUCAUGGAAUGCUAUUAGAAUGCUCAAGUAUCAAAACGGAGAUACCCUUACGGCUCAUGAGACAUAUCUCGGGAGGCAGUGAAAUAUUUCCAAUGCUUUCUCCAGACAAAGGAUCCAGAAUCAAAAUAUAUUCCUCAUGCUUUGAUCCAGAAUUCGCUCACCUAGCUAUCGCUGUUCAUCUUCAGAGGCAGGUAACCUUGUUGCCCCUGUCACACUAGAGGAGAUACAAAAGGCAAUUUAUUUUCUACCUAAUGUAAAGUAUCUGGUCCUGACGGGUAUGCGAAGGAGUUUUAUGUAGCGGUUUGGCCUAUCAUAGGCAGGGACUGUAUAGUGGCUGUGCAGUCUUUCUUCAUGUACGGCUUUCUCCCCACCGGUAUCAAUGCGACCAUCCUCUCCCUCAUCCCCAAGAUUGAUUCAGCUGAGACAAUGAGAGACUAUCGGCCUAUUGCAUGUUGCAACUUUUUGUAUAAGGUAAUAUCUAAAAUUUUGGCUUCUCGUCUCAAGACAAUUCUUCCAGAAGCUAUUGAAUCCAACCAGUGCCUUCAUUAAAGGAAGACUAUUGCUGAAAAAUGUUUUGUUAGCGUCGGAUCUGGUUAAUGGAUACCACAAGAAGACAAAUUCUGAUAGAUGUACUGUCAAGUUUGACAUCUCCAAAGCUUUUGACACAGUGAGAUGGUCUUUCAUUACAUCAAUGUUAAGAGCAAUGGUACUGCCUCCUCUGUUUAUCAACUGGAUUCACAUCUGCAUCUCAACAGCCUCCUUUUCAGUCUCGAUAAAUGGAAGCUUAGAGGGUUUCUUCACUAGUGCCAGAGGCAUAAGGCAAGGUUGCUCGAUCCUUAUCACCUUAUCUCUACGUCAUACUGAAUAAUGUGUUGUCUAAGAUGCUGAAUAAAGCUGCUCUGGAAGGCUCCUUUGGCUAUCAUCUGCAGUGUCAAGCUGUUCAACUAACACACUUGAGCUUCGCAGAUGACUUACUUGUUUUCUCAGAUGGAUCAGUUAAUUCGCUGAGAGGAGUGAUGAAAACUAUGGAUGACUUUGCAAGCAUAUCAGGUCUCCAUAUUAAUGCAGCCAAAUGGUCCUUAUAUGCAUCUGGAAGUGGAAUAGCUAAUGUAUGUGAGGAAGCUGAGAGAGCUGGAAUUGAAGGGGGACAGCUUUUGAUCAGAUACAUGGGUCUGCCAUUGACUACAAAGGAUCUUUCUAAGGAGGAUUAUGAGCCUUUGAUAGAUAAAAUCAGAACUCGAAUGCUGUCAUGGACCAACAAGAGCUUAUCUUAUGCAGGGCGCUUGCAGCUUCUCAACUCAGUCAUCUCCAGCAUAGUGAGCUUCUGGAGCUCCGCUUUUAUAUUACCUAUGGCCUGUUUGGAUACAAUAGAGAGCCUCCGCAGUGCAUUUUUAUGGUCAGGAGAUCCUCAUCAGACCCAUAAGGCCAAAGUUAAAUGGGAAUACUUGUGUUAUCCAAAAUCAGAGGGAGGAAUGGGCAUUAGGAGACUGCGAGAUACUGUUAGAGUCUUUGCUCUUAGUCUGAUAUGGCAAAUUUUUAAUAUGUCAGACUUACUAUGGGUUUCAUGGGUUCAACAUUAUCUUUUGCGUCAUUGUUCAUUCUGGGAUGUUCAGGAAGAGACAACAGGUUCCUGGAUAUGAAGGAAACUCCUUAAGUUGCGUCCUCUGGCCUAUCAGUUCAUCAGGGUGGAAGUUGGUAAUGGUGAGAAAGCUUUCUUUUGGCAUGAUGAUUGGCUGCAUAUUGGGAAACUUAUUGAGUUAACAGGAGCAACUGGCACAAGGUAUCUAGGAAUAGUUCAUAGUGCUCGGGUGUGUGAUGCUGUAGCUCAAGGCCAAUGGAGAGUGAGGGGACAGAGAAGCCGGCAUUUCCAAGAUUUACAUGCCAAAAUACAAGCAGAACUGGUACCUGAUCAGUGCAUGGGAGAGGAUAGGUUUCUAUGGAGGCACGAAACAGAGGUUUAUAAGGACUCUUACUCAGCUUCAACAACAUGGGAACAGCUUCGAUGCAAGAAAGAAGAAGUGAAUUGGAGUAGUAGUGUGUGGUUCAAACAAGGUGUUCCUCGGUUUGCAUUUAUUGUGUGGCUUGCGAUUCAGAAUAGGCUCUCUACGGGAGACAGAAUGAGGCAGUGGAGAAUUCAGCAAGGUUGUGUCCUUUGUGGAGAGAGAGAUGAGACGCGCGAUCACUUGUUUUUCGCUUGUCCUUACUCUUAUACCGUCUGGGAUAGAGUCGUUGGCAAGCUUAUGGGACGGAGAAUCAAUCCUGACUGGUCUGAUAUGCUAAGAUAUAUUCGAAAUGGAGCAGCCAAUCUUAAGAAUCAGGUGCUCAUCAGUUUGCUCUUUCAAGUGGUGGUUCAUCAUAUCUGGCGUGAACGCAAUCUAAGGAGACAUCAACAAGGCCAGAAGGGGACUGAGCUGGUGAUUAGUACAAUCAAUUAGACAGGAAAAAAUAGGAUCUCUUCUUUGGGUUAUAAGGCAGAUCAUAGAUUGGAAGGACUUCUUCGGAGAUGGUUUGAGGUUUUUGAUUGAGUUUGGAGCAUGGAGCUUGUUGGAGAAUGGAGCUAUUAACACAAAUUUUCUUUUCUUCCUACAGAUAUAUAUAUAAGAACCAUUAAUAUUUUUUAGGUUUCAUUCUUUGUAAAUCCUUCUAGUUGAUGAUCAAUAAAUUCAAAAUUUCAUAAAAAAAAAUCAUAAAGGGUAAGAAAGACUUUAACCAAGCUCUAACUUAUAAUUUGGGAUCUCGAAUGCGAGAAAUCACUUCACAAAUCUAAAAAAAAAUCAUCGUUAAUAUUCUUUAGAGUAAGCCGAUCACUAUAUUGAUAAUGCCAUAUCUACCAGUUCAUAAAAUUAUAUUUCAAAAACUAAAUCAAAAUCUUUAGGGGGGCCUAUAUAAAACUGCGAUCAAAAUUUUUAGGAUAUUCUUUGUUCUCUUAUUUUCUUUUGUAUGAAUUAACUAAUAAAGAAAUACAAUUCAUAUAACAAAAUCUUAGUCUAUUUUACAUAUCUUUAAUAUUUGAAUGGUUUAGGAGAUAAACUUUAAAUAAUAUGUCGAGUAUUUUCAAUGGUAAAUAAUUGAUAAAACUUAUAAUAAUAUGUCGAGUAUUUUCUAUAGGAAAUAAUUUACAUUGGUUCUAAGGAUUGAAAGUUUUCAGUUAUUGGUAGAUUUUAGGACCUUCCAAAUCUUAUAGGGGUACGUAUUUUAUGUUCUUGAUCCUGUUUUCCCAAGAGUCUUUAAGUGCUAUUUUCUUCGGCUUAGAUUUUAACCAAAGUAAACCAACUCUGUCUUUUGAUUUUGGCUUGCACUGCAUUGAAAAUGGGUCUAAACCGGCUAGAAAUGAAAGUUGCAUUGAGCUUGUGAAUAAUAACAUUGUGGGUUUCGAAAGAUGUUAAAAAGUCUAAACCGUUUGCGCAAAUUACACUUUAGAAGCUAAACUAACAAUUAACCAAAUAUAUCACUAUUCUUAUGAAAUAUAGACAUUGAAAAUAAGCUUUUGGUUGAUAUCCAAAGCAUUUUCAAGAGGAAGUAUCAUAAAAUAUUAAAAAUAGAAAUCAAACGCAAACACUUUUUCAUAAAUUAAUGACCAUACAUUUUUUUUGGUUAUGAAAUGGAAUGUUCUAACUAUUAACAUUAAAAUUUACUUAAGAAUUUAAUAAAUUAAUUUGCUUGGAUAAUCAAUUUGUUUCUUUUGAUAUAAUGUGAUCUUCAAUAUUUUGAAUAAUUAAUUAUUUGCUUACAUUAUUUACAAAUUGAUUACUUAUGUCACAUGUUUACAAUCGUAUCUUGUCACAUGCUUACAAUCGUAUCAUGUCACAAGUUUAAAAUCGUAUCACAAAACAAAUUUAACAAGCUUUAAAAAAAUGAUAUGUUUUUAACAAAACAUGAUAAGUCAUAUUAUUUUAAUAAUUUUCAUUUUCUAGUACAAUAAUUCUUGCAAAACCUCGCUAUAGACACAUGAACUCCUUAGUUAAUUGUUUUUAAUUAGUUAAAUUAAUAAAGGAAAUCACAGUCCUCAAAAUAUUAAUUAAACUAAAAUUAAUUAAAUUAAUUAACUAGUAUUUUCAAAAUAUUAGUUUUGCUUAUUAGUUUUAGUUAAUUAAAUAACUGAAAACAUCUUACAAAAUAACUACUUAAAAUGCUUAAAGCUUGCUAACUAAAAAUAAGUAUAUUAUUUAAUAUUACUAAAUUUUGUUUUAAUUAGUUAAGGAGAUAAUUUAAAUCAUAUUCUUAGCAAUAAAAAACUAAUUAAAGCUUUAUUAUUUAAUUAAUUAAUAUUUCUAAUAUUUGUUUUAGUUUUUAGCUUAAAUUAAUUAUGAAAAUCAUAUGUGUCUUGAAAUUUUGUAGGGAUUUGGUUUUUAAAAAUAACAUUCUUAAAAAAUUAUGACAUACCAUCUUUUAAAACAAUAUGCCACUUCCAACAACAUAUGUCAUAUUUCUUGUCGUUUGUUUUAUGUGUUUUGAACCUUGCGCCCAUGCAAGAAAUUUUAAUUCUCCGGGCAUCGAAAAUGUCAAUCCAUUCACAUCAACAAUGAAAGUCGCAGAAGAAAACAUUAAGAAGAAUGUUCCUAAAAGAGAAAAUGGUUAUACAACGGCUAGUAUAAUCAAUGGAAAUUAUGCAAGUGGACCCGAUCCGAGUGGAAGAGGACAUGGUAGACCGCCAACUCCACCACACCAUUGAAAAACAAUCGUUUGAACUGUACAUGGUGGAUAUAAUGUGAAUUAGAUAAUAAUAAUUAAUAAUUAAUAAAAAGUUGUGAAAGUUGGAUUUUGUUCAUAUAUAAUGAAAUCAAAUAAUAAACCAACUGAAAAUAAAGAAAACAAAUAAUACAUUUAACAAUAGAAAUUAUUAUGUAUAUUUUAUAGUUAUACAGAAAAUGCAAACAUCAAAAUUUAAUUUGAACCAAACGAAAAUUAAGAUUAUCAAAAUUGAUCAGAUUUGGAUUAGUUGUUUUUUUCCCUCUCAAACUCAAUCAACCUGAAAUUAAUAUCAACCCAUUUUUAAAUUAAAACAAGGUUUAAAAACUUUUUCACUAGUCAAUAUAAAAUACCUAUAUUUUAAUAUUUUAAUAAAAAUAAUUAUGUUAAACUAGAAAUGAUUGGAAAAGGCAAAUCGAUUGCGAAAAAAAUAUAAAUAAUAUCCGUGGACAAAAUUAGAACACCAUAUGCAAACUUGUUCAUCAUUGUAUUUUUUUCUUGAUAUAUGUUGAAUCACAAAUCUUAGAAAAAUCAUCGCUAAAAUUCUUCAGAGUAAGCCGAUCAGAAAAGUCUAUUGCAAAAACUAAAUCAAAAUCUUUAGGGGGGCCCUAUAUAUAAAAUUGCAAUCAAUUAUUUAACGAUAUUUUUUGUUCUUUUAGUUUCUUUUGUAUAAAUCCUCUAAACAUUAUUUGCAAAGUGAUUUUGACACAUGUCUUCUCUACAAUCAUUUUAAUCAAAUAAAUAUGACGUGGCAUGCUACAAUUAUGACAUGACUUAUGAUUAAAUGUGACAUGAACAAUUACAUUGAAUGCUUAUUUAUAUUUUUGUAAACUCUUUAGAAUAUAUGGUAGUAAAUUAUACACUAUCAUUAAAGUAAAUCUAUUAAAGUAUGAUAUUAAAUUAUAUAACAAUAAAAUUAUAAUUAUAUUUUAUAAAUUCUGAAAUAUUAUUUAUUUCUAAUUUUGAAUAAUUAUACAAUUUAUAACUAAAAAGAAUUCCAAAAUCUUUUACAAUUUUUUUUUUAAAUUAUAAUUUUUUUUUUAUCGUAAUAUUAUUAGUUUCUAUUAUAUAUCAUUUUACUAUUGAUAAUUAUAAAACUUGUAUAUCAUUUUUAUUAAUUUUAUACAAUUUAAUUUAAUAUAUUUUAUCCAAAAGAAAUAGAUAAAAUUCUAUUUCAUAUUAUUAUUUUAAAUAUAUACAUAUCUAUUCUUAGAUAUAAUUUAAAAUAAACAAAAUUAUUUAUUUUAACUUAAUUUUGUGUUCGGUUGAAAUAUUAUUAAGACAUAAUAAAAUUUAAAAAAUAAUAAACUUUAUUUUAAAAAUAAUUUUAAUUUAAAAUUUUUAUUCCUGCACAUUGGUGCUUUUAAACAGUAUAAACUUUAAUAAUUUAAUUUUAUCUUAACUAAUAAAGAAAUACAAUUCAUAUAACAAAAUUAUAGUCUAUUUUACAUAUCUUUAAUAUUUGAAUGGUUUAGGAGAUAAACUUUAAAUAAUAUAACUAGUAGUGUUUCUCUUCUUCCUCUACAAAUUAGCCCCUAAAGGGUUAUUAGACCCUUUUGGAGAUUUUAAAUAGAGGUUUUGGUUUUCACAUGCGAUGAGAUUGCGAUGCCGAAGGCGACUUAGAUCUAGGGUUUCGAUGCGGUUUCGGGGAUGGGAUGUGGGGAGACUAAGGGAUGGAUUGGAGCGGGUUUUUCCUGAUCUUCACCAGGAUAAUGGUUUUGGAAAGCAAAGGAAUGGGAACGGCGAUCUACAGCGAGAAGAUCGAACAAGAUUCAUGGGUUUUAAUGGAAACAGUGGAUUACUCGGGCCUGGGUUUUAGGGCGUUUUACGGAUAGAAUCGAUCUAUGGUUAUCUCAGGUCUCCAAUUGGUGAUCUCCCAGAUUUUCAAGGUAUGAUUUGGUGUCUAUUCUUUAGGAGAUCGUUUUGGAUUGGCUGGGGGUUUCCACAAAGGAAUCACCGAUAUUUGAGAAUUGAUGAUUGGAAAGCCAGGAUUUGGUUUCUUAUUCUCAUCAGAAUCAACGAGAUGUUCGAAGAUUUCUCAGAUGAAUUUCAAGAUCUCUCGGAAGGUGAGAUCGAGGAAAAGGACAAGGAAUGCAUUAAGAUACUGUCUGGUGAAGAUUUCUUAAGUGAGAAUGCUGAGGAAGAUAACCAGAUUGGAGAUAAGGAAGAUAAAGGCCCAGUUACGCUGGAAAUGGACAAAGAGCAGGGGGCUAGGAUGAUGCUGUUUAAGAGCCAGAAUGUAGCAGGUGGAACCAUGAAGAAGAGAAUGGUACAAGGGCUAGUAUCUCCUCGCAAACGUCCUUCGGCUAAAGCGGGUAUCCGACAAGGUGAUGGUUUUAAAAAGGUAGAAGAGACGGUCCCUCAAACCCUUUACCGAGCUCAUCAAAACCCUGAUUUUAUGGAUCGAUCCUUUGAAGAAGAGAAGCUAUGGUGGCAGAUACUGAGAGAGCAGAUGUCCAGAGGCUAUUACCGUUGGUUUCGAUCGGUCUGUUUGGUCAUCAGAAGAUACAUGGAAAAGCUGAAAUACUGGUCUUCAGUGGAGGAAAAUAUUUUUCUCUUGGCCUCAUUAAGCCACAAGUGAAGUCAAACCUUGUUCCUAUAUUGGAAUAAUAAAAAUGUAAGGUGUCCGAAUGGUGAAUGGGAGUUUAAUUGUGGUGUCUCAUUGGUCACAAUUAAUUACCAAAGGAAAGACAGAGAGUGUCGAGGAUAUGGGGUGAAUAAUCAGACUCAGGGGUACGUGAGUCUCACGUCAAAAUUAAUGAUGGUUUAUAAAUGUUUUGGACACUUAUGGUUUCUUCGUAUCCAGCUGUAUUGCUCAACAUAGCUAAUCAGUAUAAAUUUGAGGCGGCUUCUCUGCUGGAAUAAUAGAUGUAUGGGUCGUAAAUGGACGAUAAUUUAUCUUAGGGAGAUCUGGUACAAACAUAAACCAGACUUUUUAUAUUUAUCAGAAACGGAAAAAGAUACAACUUUUGUUGCUUUUUAUGCUUCUUGUAUCUCUCUUUGGAUAUGGUUGAUAUGGACUGUGAAAGACUUGGUAAUGUAUUGGUAUAUAUUUAGGUGGAGGGAGAGAUAUUGGUCUUUGGAUGACUUUGCAAGCAUAUCAAGUCUCCAUAUUAAUGCAGCCAAAUCGUCCUAAUAUGCACCAGGAAGUGGAAUAGCUAACGUAUGUGAGGAAGCUGAGAGAGCUGGAAUUGAAGUGGGACAGCUUCCGAUCAGAUACAUGGGUCUGCCAUUGACUUCAAAGGCUCUUUCUAAGGAGGAUUAUGAGCCUUUGAUAGAUAAAAUCAGAACUCGAAUUCUGUCGUGGACCAACAAGAGCUUAUCUUAUGCAGGGCGCUUGCAGCUUCUCAACUCAGUCAUCUCCAGCAUAGUGAGCUUCUGGAGCUCUGCUUUUAUAUAUUACCUAUGGCCUGUUUGGAUACAAUAGAGAGCCUCUGCAGUGCAUUUAUAUGGGCAGGAGAUCCUCAUCAGACCCAUAAGGCGAAAGUUAAAUGGGAAGACUUGUGUUAUCCAAAAUCAGAGGGAGGAUUGGGCAUUCGGAGACUGCAAGAUACUGUUAGAGUCUUUGCUCUUAGUCUGAUAUGGCAAUUUUUUAAUAUGUCAGACUCACUAUGGGUUUCAUGGGUUCAACAUUAUCUUUUGCAUCAUAGUUCAUUCUGGGAUGUUCGGGAAGAGACAACAGGUUCCUGGAUAUGGAGGAAACUCCUUAAGUUGUGUCCUCUGGCCUAUCAGUUCAUCAGGGUGGAAGUUGGUAAUGGUGAGAAAGCUUUCUUUUGGCAUGAUGAUUGGUUGCGAAUCAGGAAACUUAUUGAGUUAACAGGAGCAACUGGCACAAGGUAUCUAGGAAUAGUUCGUAGUGCUCGGGUGUGUGAUGCUGUGGCUCAAGGCCAAUGGAGAGUGAGGGGACAGAGAAGCCGGCAUUUCCAAGAUUUACAUGCCAAAAUACAAGCAGAACCGGUACCUAAUCAGUGCAUGGGAGAGGAUAGGUUUCUAUGGAGGCACGAAACAGAGGUUUAUAAGGACUCUUACUCAGCUUCAAGAACAUGGGAACAGCUUCGACGCAAGAAAGAAGAAGUGAAUUGGAGUAGUAGUGUGUGGUUCAAACAAGGUGUUCCUCGGUUUGCAUUUAUUGUGUUGCUUGCUAUUCAGAAUAGGCUCUCUACGGGAGACAGAAUGAGGCAGUGGAGAAUUCAGCAAGGUUGUGUCCUUUGUGGAGAGAGAGAUAAGACGCGCGAUCACUUGUUUUUCGCUUGUCCUUACUCUUAUACCGUCUGGGAUAGAGUCGUUGGCAAGCUUAUAGGACGGAGAAUCAAUCCUGACUGGUCUGAUAUGCUCAGAUAUAUUCGAAAUGGAGCAGCCAAUCUUAAGAAUCAGGUGCUCAUCAGUUUGCUCUUUCAAGUGGUGGUUUAUCAUAUCUGGCGUGAACGCAAUCUAAGGAGAAAUCAACAAGGCCAGAAGGGGACUGAGCUGAUGAUUAGUACAAUCAAUAAGACAGUAAAAAAUAGGAUCUCUUCUUUGGGUUAUGAGGCAGAUCAUAGAUUGGAAGGACUUCUUCGGAGAUGGUUCGAGGUUUUUGAUUGAGUUUGGAGCAUGGAGCUUGGACAAUGGAGCUAUUAACACAAAUUUUCUUUUCUUCCUACAUAUAGAUAUAAGAACCAUUAUUCCUUUUUAGGUUUCAUUCUUUGUAAAUCCUUUUAGUUGAUGAUCAAUAAAUCAAAAUUUCAUCAAAAAAAAAAAUAAUUCAUUAAGGAUAAGAAAGAGUUUAACCGCUUUAACUUAUGAUGUGGGAUCUCGAAUGCGAGAAAUCACUUCACAAAUAUAAAAAAAAAAUCAUCGUUAAUAUUCUUCAGAGUAAUCCGAUCACUAUAUUGAUAAUGCCAUAUCUACCAGUUCAGAAAAUUAUAUUUCAAAAACUAAAUCAAAAUCUUUAGGGGGGCCUAUAUAGAAAACUGCAAUCAAAUUUUUUAGGAUAUUCUUUGUUCUCUUAUUUUCUUUUGUAUGAAUUAACUAAUAAAGAAAUACAAUUCAUAAAACAAAAUCUUAGUCUAUUUUACAUAUCUUUAAUAUUUGAAUGGUUUAGGAGAUAAACUUUAAAUAAUAUGUCAAGUAUUUUCUAUAGUAAAUAAUUGAUAAGACUUAUAAUAAUAUGUCGAGUAUUUUCUAUAGGAAAUAAUUUACAUCUGGUUCUAAGGAUUGAAAGUUUUCAGUUAUUGGUAGAUUUUAGGACCUUCCAAAUCUUAUAGGGGUACGUAGUUUAUGUUCUUGAUCCUGUUUUCUCAAGAGUUUUUAAGUGCUAUUUUCUUCGGCUUAGAUUUUAACCAAAGUAAACAACCUCUGUCUUUUGAUUUUGGCUUGCACUGCAUUGAAAAUGGGUCUAAACCGGCUAGAAAUGAAAGUUGCAUUGAGCUUGUGAAUAAUAACAUUGUGGGUUUCGAAAGAUGUUAAAAUGUCUAAACCAUUUGCGCAAAUUACACUUUAGAAGAUAAAAUAACAAUUAACAAAAUAUAUCACUAUUCUUAUUAAAUAUAGACUUUGAAAAUGAGAUUUUGGUUGAUAUCCAAAGAACUUUCAAGAGGAAGUAUCAUAAAAUAUUAAAAAUAGAAAUCAAACGCAAACACUUUUUCAUAAAUUAAUGACCAUACAUUUUUUUUUUGUUCUGAAAUGGAAUGUUCUAAAUAUUAACAUUAAAAUUUACUUAAAAAUUUAAUAAAUUUAUUUGCUUGGAUAAUCAAUUUGUUUCUUUUGAGAUAAUGUGAUCUUCGAUAUAUUGAAUAAUUAAUUAUUCGCUUACAUUAUUUACAAAUUGAUUACUUAUGUCACAUGUUUACAAUCAUAUCAUGUCACAUGUUUACAAUCGUAUCAUAUCAUAGGUUUAAAAUCGUAUCACAAAACAAAUUUAACAAGCUUUAAAAAAAUGACAUAUUUUUAACAAAACAUGAUAAGUCAUAUUGUUUUAAUAAUUUUCAUUUUCUAGUAAAAUAAUUCUUACAAAAUCUCACUAUAGACACAUGAACUCCUUAGUUAAUUGUUUUUAAUUAGUUAAAUUAAUAAAGGAAAUCACAGUCCUCAAAAGAUUAACUAAAGUAAAAUUAAUUAAAUUAAUUAACUAAUAUUUUAAGAAUAUUAGUUUUGCUUAUUAGUUUUAGUUAAUUAAAUAACUGAAAACAUCUUACAAAAUAACUACUUAAAAUACUUAAAGCUUGCUAACUAAAAAUAAGUAUAUUAUUUAAUAUUACUAAAUUUUGUUUUAAUUAGUUAAGGAAAUAAUUGAAAUCAUAUUCCUAACAGUAAAAAAAACUAAUUAACACUUUAUUAUUUAAUUAAUUAAUAUUUCUAAUAUUUGUUUUACUAUUUAUCUUAAAUUAAUUAUGAAAAUCAUAUGUGUCUUGAAAUUUUGUAGGGAUUUGGUUUUUAAAAAUAACAUUCUUAAAAAAUUAUGACAUACCAUCUUUUUAAAAAAUAUGCCAAUUUUUAUAAAUCAUAUCAAGUUAUUUUGUGAUAAUGUUGUAAAGAUGACAUAUGAGCAAUCACUUUAAAAAUAAUAUUUAAGUAGAUAUUAAAUUUCAUUAAAGUCACCUUAUAUUAGAGGAAACAAAUUUGUUAUCUAAGAAAAACAAUGUCUUUACUAAAUAUAAACACAAAUAUACACAUAUAUAUACAUAAUUUUGUAGCCAUUGUUUUUCCUUUAUCUAGUAAAAUAAUUCUUUCCUGAUCAGUUGUAACAAAGCAAUUUCAACCUUUUUUUACUUCACAAUAUCUUUAAAAAUGUCUCAUUUUAUUCCAACAACAUAUGUCAUAUUUCUUGUUGUUUGUUUUAUGUUUUUUGAACCUUGCGCCCAUGCAAGAAAUUUUAAUUCUCCGGGCAUCGAAAAUGUCAAUCCAUUCACAUCAACAAUGAAAGUCGCAGAAGAAAACAUUAAGAAGAAUGUUCCUAAAAGAGAAAAUGGUUAUACAACGGCUAGUAUAAUCCAUGGAAAUUAUGCAAGUGGACCCGAUCCGAGUGGAAGAGGACAUGGUAGACCGCCAACUCCACCACACCAUUGAAAAACAAUCGUUUGAACUGUACAUGGUGGAUAUAAUGUGAAUUAGAUAAUAAUAAUUAAUAAUUAAUAAAAAGUUGUGAAAGUUGGAUUUUGUUCAUAUAUAAUGAAAUCAAAUAAUAAACCAACUGAAAAUAAAGAAAACAAAUAAUACAUUUAACAAUAGAAAUUAUUGUGUAUAUUUUAUAGUUAUACAGAAAAU